GCCUAGAACGUGGGAUCCUGGAUCUGGUUCUUGAAUUCUAAACUGUCCUGCUACCAUUCCUCAGGCUUGAACCCAGAGAAGGAGGAGGAGGAGGAAGAGGAGAAGAAGAAAGAGGAAGAGGCAAGAAGACAUAGUGUUGAUUCACAAACUGGCCCCACACACGGAGAGCCAGGAGAGAUGGGAAACACAGACAGGCCACUCCAGACUAGACAUUCUCAAGAUGUAAAGCUUCUCCCCCAGGCAGGUCCAAAUAAAGAGGUUAGAAUGGCU
rnacentral:lncRNA from 12 species